rnacentral:rRNA from 1 species
CAAUAGCGUAUAUUAAAGCUGUUGCGGUUAAAAAGCUCGUAGUUGGAUUUCUGUCAAGGACAACUGGUCCGCCCUCCGGGUGAGCACAUAGUUUGGUCUUGGCAUCUUGUUCAAAACUGUUACUGCGCUUGGUUGUGUGGUGCAGUUUUGGGCACUUUCACUUUGAGGAAAUUGGGGUGUUUCAAGCAGGCACAUGCCUUUGGACACAGUAGCAUGGAAUAAUUAGAUUGGGCUUUUGCUCCAACUUGUCGGUUCCUGGAGCUGAGGUGAGAAUCAAUGGGGAUUGUUGGGGGCAUCUGAAUUUAGCCGUCAGAGGUGAAAUUCUUGGAUCUGCUAAAGACGGACAACUGCGAAAGCGUUUGCCCAGGAUGUUUUCAUUGA